GGGGAAUGGGGGGCAGCGGGCAAGCCUCAGGCUCGGCUGGGCCCGAUGGGGUGCUGCUGCCACGUCCCUGGGAUUAAGGACACAGCUGGCUCUGCCUUUCACCAACAGGCCUUUGGGAACCCAAUCCAUCUGAAACAGUUUCCAACACCCUUCCUCCCAGUCUCAUCUCCAGGUAACAGAGAAGCCCAAGAAACUUCUAGGGAGUGAGGGAAAGAGAAUCUACAUCUAGGACAAGGUGCAGAAACCUGAGAUCACUCCCCCUGCCCUGAGUGAUUCUAGAGAGAACUAGGUGUAAUGAGGGGGUGAACCAGGAUUUUUCCUGGAAGAAAACAAUUGCAUAUCUGUCCCCCUCCUGCUGGUAAUGGACUUCCACUCCCCUCCAUGCAGGCCAGCAGCAUGCAGUGAACCCCUCAGGUGGCCCCCACAAACUGGGAGCUGGGAUGCUUGGGUAUCUGACUGGCGAUACAGCAGACACGGCCCCUGCUCUCACUGGGCUUGCGUCCCUCUGCUUGCUCCUGGAAACUGAACCAGCUGCUCCAACGCUACCACUCGUUGCGGGUUUGUUACUGGUCUGCGUCUCCGGUCCAAGGUGACUUCCAAGAACAGACAUAUUUUCAACCCAGGUCUCUUCCCCAGCAGUAUCAAAAUAUUAACCAGUUUAAUCUGGGGCUCCAUUAGCCAGCCUAACCUUGACGGCAAAAGCUUACUGGAGUUCAAGGAAAUCUAAAUCAGGUAAAGAGGCCACACAGCCUUGUUAUCAAACACUUAGAAACUGUCCUCAUCCAAUGCACACCAAUGCACAGACUCACUUUAUGUCUUUUCCCCGUAGUCCCCACAGUUCAGGUCCGCCCGCUCAACGGGAGCUUCCUGGUAUGUGUCACAUGACACACGAAAGUCAGCCCUGCGUGGGUGGGGAGGGCAGAGACAAAUGCUGUGGCUUUUCCUCUGGACUCAGCAGAGAUCCUUGGAGUCCAUGCCAUUUCUGAGGCCCUCGUUUCUCAUUGGUUUCCCCCAAACCCAGACAAACCUGUCCUUCUGCACAAAAACAAAAAGGUCUCCAAGCCAUAGAAAUUCACUGUAGGCUCCUCUGAGCUGACUCACCUGGCAAGCCCAGGGUUCUUGCAAGCAUUCCCACGUGGAUCACCUGUGCCGCCCAGAGGAAGUGACUGACCAAAGCUUCGUGGUUUUCAAAUGCAGUCCCCCUCCUUGUCUCAUGAAGCUUUUGUAAAGAAUUUUGUAUUUUAAAGCUGGAACCUAAGCCACGGAGCUCUCCCCUCAGUCCCUAGCAACAUGAGCUGGUCUCAGAGCCAGGGCUGGGACCAGCCUUGCUGCCACCUUCACCCAGAACCAAGGAGAGGAGCAACCCAGGACCGACUCCACUCUCAAGGGCCUGCAACAACUCCUCUGUGGGUCUCAGGGGCUGGGGCGUGAGGAAGCGCGGAGAACUGGGGAGAUGGAACUGGGAGAGCCGUGGAGAGAAGGCAGGCCCAGGGAGCCGCUGGCUCAGGGUCCACUGAAGGAUGGCAAAGGAGUGUGUUGCAGGAGGAGGGGGCCCGAGGGGCGAGCACAGGUUGUAGCUUCACUUAAGGACCACAGCUAAUGGGAAGGGAGAGCAGUCCGUCUGCCCUGGGCCUGCAGUUUCCAGUCAGAGUGAGACUAGCCUGUGUUCCCAGCCCCACAGCCUCCCUGGGGUCCAGGUUGUCAGGGAGGACAGCUGCUCAGCUUCAGCCCCUCCUCACCAGGAACCGGGCCCUAGGGACCUGGGGCUGCCUACAGGGAGCCAGCAGAACUCCAUGCUCAAGUCCUGGAGGCCACAGGUGUGCUUUAGGGAGGAAGAGAAAGCAGCUUUCCACGCCUUCUUCUCUGCAGGAGGGCAACUACCCCACGCUCCUCUGGGGGUGCGUUCCUCUUGCCGCUGUUCCCCAAGCACUGAGCAAGGUGACUGGCCUCACUCCAUAAAUGUGUGUCACACAAAAGCUAUCCUCCCUGUGCCGCUGUGGGUAGCCUCCCAGCAUGUCUCUCUCCUCUUUCAGGGGCCCUAGAGGAUCAGGCAGGAGCACAUACUUCCCGCAGUGCACAGACUUUUCUCUAGGGGUCAGACCAAACUGCUCCAAGGCUUAGCAAUUAAGCUGCUAUAACGGGUUUUGAAGAUUACCUCCUCUGUGCCUCCUUCCGGUCUGCAAAUAAAUUCUUGUAUUCAGGGGUUGGAUGUGUGUCUCAAUGCAAAACCAUCAUCUAUUUAGGAGAUUCUUUCCAGCUGGGACUUCUCUCCACAGGCUGAGUGGCAAAGGUCAAGUCCCCCCUCAUUUCCGCAUCAGUUGUUAGGUCUGUGAGGAACAGUCAGCAGGCACCUGCUGAUCCUGGUACUCGCGAGGCCACGGGGAGGCGUGGUCUAUAGUCUCCCCACGGCGCGAGUGGCCACAGAGGAUGGAGAACAGGUUGGAGUGGCCUGACCCUGGUGAUGAGGUGGAAGCACCUCUAAAGUAUGUUGCAAAGGAAAGCAGAGACAGACCUAUGGGGCUCAUCUUGGAACCACAGAGAUCGCUGAAGAAAGUGUUUAGAUGGCACCCCUCCCUGUUCACACGCGAGUGCUUCUCAUUCGGAAGCAGACCCAAGGACGUGCAGAGGCCGCGCUGGAGGAGACGCCAGAGCUACUUACGGUGUCACUUUAGUAAAUGCAAACAGGCUACAUUAGUAUCGCCCAGGCUGAGUUAAUGAUUACCCUGGUGUCCAAAGUACCAGCUCCAAAUUUGAACACAGCAACUAAAUUCAUUGGAAAAUGAGCGUCACUGGGGACUCAACACUGACAAAACUCAAUAAUGCUCUAUUUAGUGAUCAUUACUCUAAACCCAAUUUUUCGCUCUUGGGCUAAACCCAGCUCCCAGCUCAUAAUGCUCUGCCAUGAAUCUUAAUACAGAUGAAAGAGCUAUCAUUAAUCUCAUUCUCAAUUUUUCUUAAUUUGUAUAACCUCAAUAGAUUAAAUUUAUAGAAUGCCUUUCCUUUUAAGAUGUAGAGGAGAGAGGAAUAAAAAUUUUCAGUGUAAAUUAGGUUAAGAUAUAACUCAAAUGUUUCAGGUGCAUAGUGAAAAAGUUUAUUUAUGACAGAUUUCAAAACUCGGGAGAGAAGACAAAGAAUGCACAAGAGCAUCACAAAACUGUUACAUGAUAUAAAAACACAAGAACUGAGCUAUAGAGAACCAUAGCUCAGGACCAUCUGUGGAUCCCAGCAACACACCCAGUGCUACAGGGUGUGAAAUACAGCGUUUUAAAGGAAAAACCGCUCAGCAGGACGUAAUGGUUAAAUAACAAUUUGGUACAGAGCUCUCAGAAAUCACAGGAGAUGUUGACAGCGUUUCUCAUGACAGGACAUGUAAAACAAGUUGGCUGUAAUAAGUGAUUGGCUAAGAUAUCUUAAAUAAAAUGUUUGUGUUUUAAAUAAAAGACCAUUUCCCUUCCAGACCCCUUUUUGUAAUGUCAGCGUCAAUACAUGAUACAGAGUAAGGAAAAAUGCCUUUGUGGUGGCCAACUGCUUAAAUAUUUACCAACAAAGCGUGGUCACCUUCCCACCGACUGACACAGCUCAGUGCGCGGCGCCCACGCAGGCUUCUCAGAAACCAGCUGCAUGGCGCACAGCAGUUGAGGGAAUCUUCAAGCCCCUCCCUCUAUUCCAAUUAUCCUUAUUCCAACAGCUUUCCCAUAACCCAUUGCUCUGACUACGAAGCAGCAUUCUUCUGGGAAUUCCAAAAAACUUCCCAUUAUUAAGGAAACCUGGGUACAUGGCUAAGUGGCAAUAAUUCAACUUGAUUAAACAAAAAAAUAUUUUCAUUUAUGGGACAAUAAUAAUCUCAGAAAGAGAUAUCAGUGGAAUUUUUAAUAUGAAAUUUCUUAGUUAAAUGUACUAUUUAGCACAUAAGAGAAGAAAUUAAGAUAAUAUUUUUCAGAUUAUUCUUGCCUGAACCUAAAAAUCAACAAAAACAGCCCUGACUGGAGUGGCUCAGUGAGUUGCGUGCUACCCCGCAAAGCGAAAUGCCGCCAGGCUGAUUCCUGGCCGGGGCACAUGCCUGGGUUGCAAGCCAGGUCCCUGGUUGGGGAGGCUCUAGAGGCAACCGAUCGACACUGCUUUUAUUUAUCGACGUUUCUCUCUUUUUCCCUCCCUUCCCCUCUCUGUAAAAAUAGAUAAACUCUUUAUUUUAAAAAAUCACAGACAAGGCAUUUCUAACCUACGUGAGGAGGAGAGUUCAGGAAGAGAACUCCUUAAAGUGACCACCAGUUCAGGACUCUUCUGUAACCCUACACCCUAUAAUAUCUCAGACCCAGACUUCAGAACUAUUCAUGGCCCUGUCUCAGAACUUUUAGAAAAUACACUUUGUCCCCUGAAAGUCAUUUCACACAUGUAUGGCAUUUUGCCCGUAGAUAAGCCCAAACGAACCACUUACAGUGACAUGGAGCUGUGGAACUGAAUGUUAAGAGUCUGUAUCUCUAGGUUACUGAGGGGCCUUCUCCGCUCUCCGAGUGAAGAGGGGCCAUGAAAUCAGCUCUGACCCGCAUGCCUGGGGCCUACAGGAAAUCAAACUACACAUAAUAGAAAUCAUACGUUCAAAGCAGCGACCAGGACUAGAAACAAUUUCAAAACCAGAGCCUUGCCUUUGGACUCAAAUUUUGAGGGAACAACUAUUGUAAACAAACUCCACUAUCGAGGCUGCAGGCAGCUAAUUGGGUUUUCUGAGCACGGUGACAAGAGAUUCCAACAGGAGGGGCUUUGGCUGCCUGGCAGGGGCUCAGCAACACUCCAGAGGCAGCAAGAAUUUCCAAAAUCUGGCCCCACAGCCAAGUUUUUCUCAUCCUUUGGGUCCCAAACCUUGCCCUAACCUCAUUACAUACAUAACUGGGUAGCUGUCGAACAAGGGUCCACAGGUGCUGCACUGGUCAGAUGGAGCAGAGCGGCGACACGGACCGUGAGCAGGCACCAACAGAGCCGAUGCAGUCCUUGCAGAAGGGCCCCCAUGCCCAGAAAAGAGGACACCGGGAACUGACUCCCAGGGGCUUCUCCUGUGAAGUACGCCGAACUCACUGCCCACAGGGAACUGGGUCCUUCAGUGGGCCCCGAAGUCAGACUCUGAGAGCGCUGAGGAGCUGUAAGCUCACACCGAUGUUACACUUACAGCCAGUAACAGAACACAGUUUCUGCAGAUGGAGGGCUUGCUCUAUGUAUGAACCAACUCCAUGAACUCAUCGUCCCCUUGGCACAGCACUGCCACAUCCUCUUCACCCUGCACCCACCUGGUCAGGUUAACAGGAGCUCCGACUGCGGCCACACACGAGUUACCCAGGUAUCCCAAUGUGGGACCGUGAGUCACAAUCCCUCCUUCCAGUGAGGCUUCUGGCUUAAAGACAAAGCCCUACUUCCGACCAUGACGGACUGCUUUACCUACUCAAUUUUAUAUCACCGUUACUUAAUUCUGGCUAAUCAGGUGAACUGAGGCCUUGGAUAUCAUGCUGCCAGGGCUAAACAGUACCAGAGACAACCAGACAUCAGAAAGAAAUGGAAGGUGCCUAGACCCUCGCUGUGUCUCUAGCUGUGUGGACGCAAGGUCCCUGGGGACAGGACCCCAUGUGUGUGAAGACUGGGGCUCUGGCCAUGAGGACACUCAGCACAGGCUGGAGUGCUGGGCCGUGACUGGUUUCAGACACCAAGCCCACUCCCCAAAGAAUCACGCGUCACGGCUCCCUGAGCACAAAGAAAGAUGUGAUGACUUGCUCUCUGAAUGGCAUAAAUCCCCUCACAAGCUACCCCGCAAAAUAACAAAAAUGAAAUUACCUUCCUUCAGAGGGAAACUCACUUUUCCGACUCUUUCAACCUCCGAGAUGCUAGCGGGAGGGUGCUCUUCCCUGUUCUAGCAGAUCGAGGAGUUCUAUGGAAAGAGACUAAAGAGUUUCACGUGGAUCUUUCAGACUCAGGAGAAAAUCCAAACGGACACUCGGACAGGGAGAAAGUUUCAAACUGUGUCUAUUUGGUUUGUCCCGUUCACUACUAUGUGCAAGGCCGGCCCACCCAGACUGAGGAGGAUGGUGAUCCCUGCACCUCCAGGGGAGGUCAGCCUACAGGGGCCCAGUUUGCUCACAAACAUACUUCUGUGGCUUGAGGCUCUUCCAUGGAGUUGGUCAAAACUGAUCUAUUUCAUCCCUUUCUUGGCCACAGUCGAACCAACCAGGGCUACAGUGACACAGCUAGAACUCUGCCUGGCUUCUCUGUAAACUCACCAUCCUUUUCACGGCACUAGACUUGGCAGUCCCAGAAAACACAGAGAUGAAAUCAAACAUCAGGCCAGGAUUAUACUUAGCACAGGAGACCUACUCUGAACUACUUCUGAAGUCGAUCCUAUUGGAAAAGGCAGUAGAGUGGGUUGGGGAUUUCUAGAACAAGCACAGUGAGAACCCGUGAGGCUACUGGCUUAAAGAACAAUCUCCAACUAAUGAAAUGCAAAUUGAGAACUAAACAAAAUCGGGACACGAGCAAAAUUCCAGGGUACAUUUGAUAACUUUUCUCCCUUCCCUUCAUUGUGUCGUUUCCGUGCCCUGCAGCCCGUUGAGCGAGGCAGUGCUGAAGCGGCACAGAACGGUUCCACUCCUGCUGCUUCCUCGAAAACAACCGUCUUUUAUGUGAAUGUCAGCAUCACUCUACAGAGCACCUGAGGCCCACAUCCUUCGGGGUUAGAAAGCAAGCUUUUACAGAAAAGUGGUUUAAAAAUAAAUAUAAAAAUACAGGCUUUGGGGUUUGGGUUUCACUUAAUUCUUUCAAGGGGGACUGGGGAAGGCUCAUCAACACAACUCAGAUAUUUUGUGUGUGUUUGACAAUAUCUAAUCCCACUGAUUAAAGUGAGACAGUGAACUUUCAGAGUUGAACAUACUAUAGGGGACAAUAUAUACACUUUAAAGUCUCAGAUUUUCUUUCCUAAAUAACAGAUAAAAGUAUUUUUAAAGUGCAUGAGUCGACUAAGAAAAACACAAGAAUGGCCUCCCUUCUAGUUGCUACUGCCCCCGUGAUAAAGCUACACGCUGUCUGAGGCUGGAGUGGUGAGUCCUGAGGAUGUCUCCUGAAGCAGAAGGGAGAAGAAUGGAGCCCUGCCGCGGCAGCAUCACAGCCACCCCGCUCCGGCACAGGGGUGCUGGAGAAGAUGGCGGCGGGGAACUAGGGUCUGAGGAAGAGGGGAGGGAGACACAGCUGGAGUCUGAAGGACGGAGGCCAGGGAACACUUCCGUGGGGGCCGCCUCCCGUGGGACCCCUGCUGAAGAAAACGGCCCACAGAGAGAGGUACAGGGGCUCUCUGGCCCAGCGAGCGCAGCCGACGUCUGUGCGGGAGCAGCCUCUUGCCGGGCACUUGCCGGGAGGAACGGAGUGGUAGGGUCAUCUUUGUUUGAAAAUUAGCGGCUCGUGAUUUUAAAAUCUAGGUGGUGCUGUGUAUAAGCAUGUCUGCUAUGUAUUUCUUUCAAAAACUCUGCUGAAAAAUUUUCAUAGUAAAAUAUAGGGGAAAAAUUAACCCUUUAAACAUGUCUUCUUUCUGAAAGCACCAAUUCAAAAACUAAACAGAUGGAAAAAAUGUAAGGACUCAGCCACUUUGUGUAGAGAGUUCUAGUGUCUCUCCUGCGGUGGAGUACUUUCCUUCCGCUGUUCAUAUGUAUCUGCGCUCUGGGAGACAGGGUGCAGGCGAAAACAGAUGAUUUUCCUUUUAUUGUUUGGUUGUGUAAACCUGGACAGGGAGAGACCGAGGAAACAGCUACCUCUCAGGAUUUGCUGGGCUGCAAAAUUCUCAGCACCUAUACCUAUGCUUCAGUAAAUAAUAUUUUGUCCCUGAAGUUCCAUAACUUCAGAAAUCUAAUAUGGGAAUAGUGAAUGCAUUUUUAAAAAUACCUUCUUUUAGCUAUUUUGUGCAAACGGAACACAGAAACCCUGACUGCUAGUGACACACCGGGGGAGAGUGAAACGUGGGGAUGUCCAGGACUUCAGAGGCGCCUGGACAGUGAGAGGCACACGAAGGCGAUGGGAACAAGUCCCCAGGCUUCCCUGAUGCAACAGAA